UUGAAAACGAUGACGAAGAAAAGUAGAUCAGGCUGUUCCAUUGCAGAGAGAAAACGGCGGUGCAAGUUUUCAUGGGAUCUGAUCGAAGCCGCUUCCGAGUUUGCCCAAAGCAACGUGUGCUCUGCGUUAAAGAGAAAUGAGGGCAUUUCUUUUGAAGAAAAGAAAUGAAUCAGGAUGGUACCGCGUGAGUAAAGCGUUCCUGGA
rnacentral:ncRNA from 1 species